rnacentral:rRNA from 1 species
GACGAACGCUGGCGGCGUGCUUAACACAUGCAAGUCGAACGGAAAGGCCCUGCUUUUGUGGGGUGCUCGAGUGGCGAACGGGUGAGUAACACGUGAGUAACCUGCCCUUGACUUUGGGAUAACUUCAGGAAACUGGGGCUAAUACCGGAUAGGAGCUCCUGCUGCAUGGUGGGGGUUGGAAAGUUUCGGCGGUUGGGGAUGGACUCGCGGCUUAUCAGCUUGUUGGUGGGGUAGUGGCUUACCAAGGCUUUGACGGGUAGCCGGCCUGAGAGGGUGACCGGCCACAUUGGGACUGAGAUACGGCCCAGACUCCUACGGGAGGCAGCAGUGGGGAAUAUUGCACAAUGGGCGGAAGCCUGAUGCAGCAACGCCGCGUGCGGGAUGACGGCCUUCGGGUUGUAAACCGCUUUCGCCUGUGACGAAGCGUGAGUGACGGUAAUGGGUAAAGAAGCACCGGCUAACUACGUGCCUGCAGCCGCGGUGAUACGUAGGGUGCGAGCGUUGUCCGGAUUUAUUGGGCGUAAAGGGCUCGUAGGUGGUUGAUCGCGUCGGAAGUGUAAUCUUGGGGCUUAACCCUGAGCGUGCUUUCGAUACGGAUUGACUUGAGGAAGGUAGGGGAGAAUGGAAUUCCUGGUGGAGCGGUGGAAUGCGCAGACAUCAGGAGGAACACCAGUGGCGAAGGCGGUUCUCUGGGCCUUUCCUGACGCUGAGGAGCGAAAGCGUGGGGAGCGAACAGGCUUAGAUACCCUGGUAGUCCACGCUGUAAACGGUGGGUACUAGGUGUGGGGUCCAUUCCACGGGUUCCGUGCCGUAGCUAGCGCUUUAAGUACCCCGCCUGGGGAGUACGGCCGCAAGGCUAAAACUCAAAGGAAUUGACGGGGCCCCGCACAAGCGGCGGAGCAUGCGGAUUAAUUCGAUGCAACGCGUAGAACCUUACCUGGGUUUGACAUGGAUCGGGAGUGCUCAGAGAUGGGUGUGCCUCUUUUGGGGUCGGUUCACAGGUGGUGCAUGGCUGUCGUCAGCUCGUGUCGUGAGAUGUUGGGUUAAGUCCCGCAACGAGCGCAACCCUUGUUCACUGUUGCCAGCACGUUAUGGUGGGGACUCAGUGGAGACCGCCGGGGUCAACUCGGAGGAAGGUGGGGAUGACGUCAAGUCAUCAUGCCCCUUAUGUCCAGGGCUUCACGCAUGCUACAAUGGCUGGUACAGAGAGUGGCGAGCCUGUGAGGGUGAGCGAAUCUCGGAAAGCCGGUCUCAGUUCGGAUUGGGGUCUGCAACUCGACCUCAUGAAGUCGGAGUCGCUAGUAAUCGCAGAUCAGCAACGCUGCGGUGAAUACGUUCCCGGGGCU